rnacentral:rRNA from 1 species
UACGUAGGGUGCGAGCGUUGUCCGGAAUUAUUGGGCGUAAAGAGCUUGUAGGCGGUUUGUCGCGUCUGCCGUGAAAAUCCGGGGCUCAACCCCGGACUUGCGGUGGGUACGGGCAGACUAGAGUGUGGUAGGGGAGACUGGGAUUCCUGGUGUAGCGGUGAAAUGCGCAGAUAUCAGGAGGAACACCGAUGGCGAAGGCAGGUCUCUGGGCCACUACUGACGCUGAGAAGCGAAAGCGUGGGGAGCGAACAGG